rnacentral:lncRNA from 1 species
UGGCCUGUCAUAAUCAUAUUUAGAGGGUUGUUAAUCUAAUUUUAUUGAAGAUGAGGAAAGAGAAAGAAUGACUUCCCUAAAGUCAUAUAGCAGAGGAGAAAGAGCCUUCGUCUGACUCCAGGACCAGCACUUUUUGUAGCAGAGGAAACCUUGCAUUUGUGUUAUUCCUAACCAGUUGUCUUGCUCUCAAGUCCCUCUUUUCUAUAUCCAUCUCUGGCUUCCUAGACAAAAAACAGGCUCUUAUAGGAAGCAUAUGUAAACGAAAACAGUGAAUAAACUUUUCAAAUAAUUUGUUCUGUCGCAAAAGUCAGUAAAUAAAACAGGAGACAUCAAAUCAGCCAAUUUCUUUAUCCAUGGGAUAUCAAGCUCCUUGUUUGAAGGAAGAAACUAAUGACUUUCUCCUUCCUCUCCUCCUCCUCCUUCUUUCUCUUUCCCUUUUCUAUGAAGACUCUGACUCUUGUAGUUGUUCUGAUGUCAUACCCGUGGGAAGGGCUCCUGAGAUUCUAUGAUGAUCUCUCUGUAGACAGAGCUUGGUUCCUGGGAGGAGUUAACAUGCUCAUUCAUUGGUGUGCUUGUCAAAUGCAUAACUCAGAUAUAUCAAACAGGGUGCAGCUCUUUUUUUAAAUUUAAUUUAAUUUAAAGUUCCAGGAUACAUGUGCAGGACAUGCAGGUUUGUUACAUAGGUAAAUGUGUGCCAUAGUGGUUUACAGUGCAGCUCUUUAGGAACCUCAGUAAGACCUUUGUCCUGUGAGUUAGCAGGAAAGGGGUGGCUUUGCCCCAAAGGAAGGGUAACUAUUCACGAUGAGGUUGAGUUUUCUAUUGCCCAUGCCCACACCUAUUUUUUUUAAUACGAGGAAGGAGGGAGACAGGGAGGCAGAUGAGUAGACAAGUGGCAGAAAAUACCUUUCCAAUGCUCCCAUGCUGAUCAAUAUGCCUGCACUACCCUGCUGGGUCAUAAUCCCUGUAACUUGGCUUCAUUUACAG